rnacentral:rRNA from 1 species
GCGUAGAAUACCCGCAAGGGUAUUAAGUUGCAUGCCAUAGACCCGAAGCCAAGUGAUCUAGCCAUCGGCAGGCUGAAGCCCGGGUGAAACCGGGUGGAGGGCCGAACCCUAGUCUGUUAAAAAAGGCAGGGAUGACCGGUGGCUCGGAGCGAAAGACUAAACAAACUUGGAAAUAGCUGGCUCUCCCCGAAAUGCCUUGAGGGACAGCCUCGUCAAAAGCUCGCGCAGGUAGAGCACUGGAUGGACUAGGGGGCCUCACCGCCUACCAAACCCAAUCAAACUCCGAAUGGCGCGAGACAACUGGCGGGAGUGAGACUGCGGGCGACAAGGUCCGUGGUCGAGAGGGAAACAGCCCUGACCGCCGGCUAAGGUCCCGGAUAGCAUGCUGAGUGUGAAAUGAUGUGCCCUGGCGAGGACAGCCAGGAGGUUGGCUUAGAAGCAGCCAUUCCUUGAAAGAGUGCGUAACAGCUCACUGGUCGAGUCACGGCGCGCAGACAAUGUAACGGGGCUAAGCAUGCAACCGAAGCCGCGGAAUCACAUAGCAAUAUGUGGUUGGUAGGGGAGCAUUCCGCAGACCGACGAAGGCGUAUUGGAAAGUACGCUGGAGGGAGCGGAAGGGAGAAUGCAGGUAUAAGUAGACGAAAAGAGGGGUGGGAUCCCCCUCCGCCGGAAGCCCAAGGUUUCCUGGGUAAAGGCAAUCUUCCCAGGGUAAGUCGGCCCCUAAGGCGAGGGCGAAAGCCGUAGUCGAUGGGAAACCGGUUCAUAUUCCGGUACCGUUCCUGAUUUCACGGGAUGACGCGUGAGGCGAAACCCGGCCGGGCGACGGUUGCCCCGGUCGAAGCGGCGAGCUGUUGGGCGCGGAGGAAACGCGUUCAGGCGAGCCGUGACAGCGAGCCGACCCACGGGAAGGCGAAGCGGGCGUAGCCAGGGCGCCGAGAAACAAUCCCCUCUGGACAGGUCAGGAAGACCGUACCGCAAACCGACACAGGUGGGCGGGAUGAGAAAUCUAAGGCGCACGAGAGAACUCGCGUUAAGGAACUCGGCAAAAUGCGCACGUAACUUCGGGAGAAGUGCGGCCGCUUUUGGUUUUAGCAAUAGGGUCAAAGGCGGCGUCACAAAGCAGUCCCAGGCGACUGUUUACCAAAAACACAGGCCUCCGCGAACCAGCAAUGGGAAGUAUGGGGGCUGACACCUGCCCGGUGCCGGAAGGUUAAGGGGAGCGGUUAAUCGCAAGAUGAAGCUGCGAACCGAAGCCCCGGUAAACGGCGGCCGUAACUAUAACGGUCCUAAGGUAGCGAAAUUCCUUGUCGGGUAAGUUCCGACCCGCACGAAAGGUGUAACGAUCUGGGAGCUGUCUCGACGCGAGACUCGGUGAAAUUUAAGUACCGGUCAAGAUGCCGGUUACCCGUGGUUAGACGGAAAGACCCCGUGAACCUUCACUGCAACUUACCGUGGGGGCUUGGCUAGGCAUGUGUAGGAUAGGUGGGAGGCACUGAGGCGUGGGCGUCAGCCUGCGCGGAGCCGACGGUGAAAUACCACCCUUUCCUGGCUAGGCUUCUAACCCGCGCCGUGAAACCGGGGCG